rnacentral:pre_miRNA from 1 species
ACAACAUUUGGACCAUUGGUUUAGCGAGCAAAAUUAUCCGCUCGGUGAAAGAUUUUCCCUUCCUCGU